rnacentral:rRNA from 1 species
UACGAAGGGUGCAAGCGUUACUCGGAAUUACUGGGCGUAAAGCGUGCGUAGGUGGUUUGUUAAGUCUGAUGUGAAAGCCCUGGGCUCAACCUGGGAAUUGCAUUGGAUACUGGCAGGCUAGAGUGCGGUAGAGGGUAGUGGAAUUCCCGGUGUAGAGGUGAAAUUCGUAGAUAUCGGGAGGAACACCGGUGGCGAAGGCGGCGACCUGGGUAGAUACUGACGCUGAGGUGCGAAAGCGUGGGGAGCAAACAGG